AACCUCCGCAAUGUGAGAAAUCGCGACGGGGGGAUCCCAAGUGCCAUUCUUAACGGGAUGGCUUUUCAUUAGUGUAAAGAGCUUUUGGAAUAAGAGCUGGGCAAGACCGGUGCCAGCCGCCGCGGUAACACCGGCAGCUCUAGUGGUAACAAUUUUUAUUGGGCCUAAAGCGUCCGUAGCCGGUUUAAUAAGUCUCUGGUGAAAUCCUGUAGCUUAACUGUGGGAAUUGCUGGAGAUACUAUUAGACUUGAGACCGGGGGAGGUUAGAGGUACUCCCAGGGUAGAGGUGAAAUUCUGUAAUCCUGGGAGGACCGCCUGUUGCGAAGGCGUCUAACUGGAACGGUUCUGACGGUGAGGGACGAAAGUUAGGGGCGCGAACCGGAUUUAGAUACCCGGGUAGUCCUAACUGUAAACGAUGCGGACUUGGUGUUGGGUGGCUUUGAGCUGCUCCAGUGCCGAAGGGAAGCUGUUAAGUCCGCCGCCUGGGAAGUACGGUCGCAAGACUGAAACUUAAAGGAAUU
rnacentral:rRNA from 1 species